CACAGAGGGUGCGAACGUUGCUCGGAAUCACUGGGCGUAAAGCGCGUGUAGGCGGACCGGCAAGUCAGGUGUGAAAUCCCUGGGCUCAACCUAGGAACUGCAUCUGAAACUGCCGGUCUUGAGUGUCGGAGAGGGAAGCGGAAUUCUGGGUGUAGAGGUGAAAUUCGUAGAUAUCCGGAGGAACACCGGUGGCGAAGGCGGCUUCCUGGACGACUACUGACGCUGAGACGCGAAAGUGUGGGGAGCAAACAGG
rnacentral:misc_RNA from 1 species